UACGGAGGGUGCAAGCGUUAUCCGGAUUCACUGGGUUUAAAGGGUGCGUAGGUGGGCUAGUAAGUCCGUGGUGAGAUCUCCAAGCUUAACUUGGAAACUGCCGUGGAUACUAUUAGUCUUGAAUAUUGUGGAGGUAAGCGGAAUAUGUCAUGUAGCGGUGAAAUGCUUAGAUAUGACAUAGAACACCGAUAGCGAAGGCAGCUUGCUACACAAUCAUUGACACUGAGGCACGAAAGCGUGGGGAUCAAACAGG
rnacentral:rRNA from 1 species